AUUCUUACUGUGACAGAGCAUAUAUUAAGAUUGGAACGAUACAGGAAAGAUUAAUAUGAGCCUUGGCCAAGGAUGACACGUAAACUCAUGAAGCAUUUCACAUUUCU
rfam:Glossina austeni unplaced genomic scaffold Scaffold231, whole genome shotgun sequence.